CCUACGGGAGGCAGCAGUGGGGAAUAUUGGGCAAUGGGCGCAAGCCUGACCCAGCAACGCCGCGUGAAGGAAGAAGGCUUUCGGGUUGUAAACUUCUUUUAUUGAGGACGAAACAAAUGACGGUACUCAAUGAAUAAGCCACGGCUAACUACGUGCCAGCAGCCGCGGUAAUACGUAGGUGGCAAGCGUUAUCCGGAUUUACUGGGUGUAAAGGGCGUGUAGCCGGGCUGACAAGUCAGAUGUGAAAUUCCGGGGCUCAACCCCGGACCUGCAUUUGAAACUGGUGGUCUUGAGUAUCGGAGAGGCAGGCGGAAUUCCUAGUGUAGCGGUGAAAUGCGUAGAUAUUAGGAGGAACACCAGUGGCGAAGGCGGCCUGCUGGACGACAACUGACGGUGAGGCGCGAAAGCGUGGGGAGCAAACAGGAUUAGAUACCCCUGUAGUC
rnacentral:rRNA from 1 species